GACGAACCGUACAAACGUUAUUCGGAAUCACUGGGCUUAAAGGGUGCGUAGGCGGCGCUGUAAGUUGGGUGUGAAAUCCCUCGGCUCAACCGAGGAACUGCGCCCAAAACUACAGUGCUUGAGGGAGAUAGAGGUGAGCGGAACUUAGGGUGGAGCGGUGAAAUGCGUUGAUAUCCUAAGGAACGCCAGGGGCGAAAGCGGCUCACUGGGUCUCUUCUGACGCUGAGGCACGAAAGCUAGGGUAGCGAACGGG
rnacentral:rRNA from 2 species